UAAGAGGAACCACUUUUCUAAUAAUUAAUAACUCCUGUUAUUAUUAGUCUUAAUAAAGUGGUGGCACAAAAUUGGAAGCCCCGACUGUUUACUAAAAACACAACUAUCUGCAAUGAUGUAAAUCAUAGUAUAGGUAGUGAGGUUUGCCCAAUGCCAUAAGCAUAAGAGACGUAAUGGGAAACUGUUAAAGAUCGAAAGCCUGGUUAAUAGCGGUCUUAACCUUGAGGAUCCUAAGGUAGCAAAAUAAAUUGGCCAUUAAAUGUGGUCCGGUAUCAAUAAUUUAACGAUGGCUUCACUGUCUCUACAACUUGCUCAGUGAAAUUGAAUUGUGAGUGCAGAUGCUCACUACUCGCAGGGGGACGGGAAGACCCUAU
rnacentral:rRNA from 1 species